rnacentral:misc_RNA from 1 species
AACGGUCUAUACCUGCGGUACCUGCGGAGGGAUCAUUACCGAGUUUACAACUCCCAAACCCAAUGUGAACGUUACCAAACUGUUGCCUCGGCGGGGUCACGCCCCGGGUGCGUAAAAGCCCCGGAACCAGGCGCCCGCCGGAGGGACCAACCAAACUCUUUUCUGUAGCCUUCGGGCGUUAUUUCUUACAGCUCUGAGCAAAAAUUCAAAAUGAAUCAAAACUUUUAACAAUGGAUCUCU